rnacentral:rRNA from 1 species
UACGUGAGGGGGCAAGCGUUGUCCGGAUUCAUUGGGCGUAAAGAGCGUGUAGGCGGCCAGGUAGGUCGGUUGUGAAAACUGGAGGCUCAACCUUCAGAGGUCGACCGAAACCAUCUGGCUAGAGUCCGGGAGAGGAGAGUGGAAUUCCUGGUGUAGCGGUGAAAUGCGCAGAUAUCAGGAAGAACACCCGUGGCGAAAGCGGCUCUCUGGAACGGUACUGACGCUGAGACGCGAAAGCGUGGGGAGCGAACAGG